rnacentral:rRNA from 1 species
AGGUGCGAUCAUACCAGCAUUAAUGCACCAGAUCCCAUCAGAUCUCCGCAGUUAAGUGUGCUUGGGCUAGAGUAGUACUGGGAUGGGUGACCUCCCAGGAAGUCUUAGUGUUGCACCCU